rnacentral:rRNA from 1 species
CACGUGCAGUUAUUUCACUCCUCAGCAUUCCACCGACCAUUCGCGCACGCCGAUACUCGAUCCGAAGCGUACUAUGCUGUCCAUACAACCUUGAUGUAUUCGUAGUCCACGAUCCGUCGUGAGAUCUUAGACCUCCCUUUCCGGGAAGGUCUCGGAUAAUUCUGGGUCGGAUCCGUUGAUAAUUAGAAAAUGAGAUUUCAAAGAAGCCUGCCUCUGAACAUUUAGCAGGGAGAUCCCGAUAGAGGUCCGCCCUUUCUUGUGGUCGUAGGACCCGAGUAUAGAUUAAGAGGGCCCUUGGGGGCUUUCGUAUUUCAUUGUUAAAGGUGAAUUUCGGAUUUUUGAGAGAAGAAAUAAUUGAAAGCCUUUCCCAGGGAGUUUUUCCUUAUCAAAAACGAAAGUGGGGGCUCGAAGAGAUUAGAAACCGUAGUAGUCUCAACCAUAAACGUGCCGACUAGGGAUAGCAGAUGUUCCAUUGAUGACUCUGCCAGCACCUUAUGUGAAAACAAAGUUUUUGGGUUCCCGGGGGGAGUAUGGUCGCAAGGCUGAAACUUAAAGGAAUUGACGGAAGGGCACCACCCGGGCGUGGAGCUGCGGCUUUAUUUUGACUCAACACGGGAAAACUUACCAGGUCCAGACAUAGUGAGGAUUGACAGAUUGAGAGCUCUUUCUUGUUUCUAUGGGUGGUGGUGCAUGGCCGUUCUUAGUUGGUGGGUGGCCUUGUCAGGUUGAUUCCGGUAACGAACGAGACCUCAGCUCCUAAAUAGUCCAAUCCGCCUUUCGGCGGUAUGCUGACUUCUCAGAGGGACUAUUGGCGUUCUAGCCAAUGGAAGUAUGAGGCAAUAACAGGUCUGUGAUGCCCUAGAUGUUCUGGGCCGCACGCGCGCUACACUGAUGCGUUCAACGAGCCUAUCCUUGACCGAGAGGUCCGGGUAAUCUUUGAAACCGCAUCGUGAUGGGGCUAGACUAUUGCAAUUAUUAGUCUUUAACGAGGAAUUCCUAGUAAAUGCGAUUCAUCAGAUCGCGUUGAUUACGUCCCUGCCCUUUGUACACACCGCCCGUCGCUCCUACCGAUUGGGUGUGCUGGUGAAGUGUUUGGAUCGGCAAACAGGGGGGCAACUCGACAUGCCCGAGAAAAUCCCUAAACCCCUCCCU